GAUGAAUAACGUAGCGAAAUGCGAUAAGUAAUGUGAAUUGCAGAAUUCAGUGAAUCAUCGAAUCUUUGAACGCACCUUGCGCUCUUUGGUAUUCCGAAGAGCAUGCCUGUUUGAGUGUCAUGAAAAUAUCAACCUUGACUUGGGUUUUGUGCUCUAGUCUCGGCUUGGAAUUGGGUGCUUGCCGCUUUUACGAGCGGCUCACCUUAAAUGUAUUAGCUGGAUCUGUCUUUGAGACUUGGUUUGACUUGGCGUAAUAAGUAUUUCGCUAAGGACAUUCUUCGGAGUGGCCUCGUUUCUAGGACGCUUGUCCGCUUUCCAAUACAAGUUCCACCUCGUGGACAUGACUUUUUAUUAUCUGGCCUCAAAUCAGGUAGGACUACCCGCUGAACUUAAGCAUAUCAAUAAGCGGAGGA
rnacentral:misc_RNA from 1 species